rnacentral:rRNA from 1 species
UGAGGAAUAUUGGGCAAUGCCCGCAAGGGUGACCCAGCAACGCCGCGUGGAGGAUGAAUGUCGUAAGAUUGUAAACUCCUGUUAGAGGGGAAGAAUAGUACCGGUUGGACCGGUAUAUGACUGUACCCUCAGAGAAAGCCCCGGCUAACUACGUGCCAGCAGCCGCGGUAAUACGUAGGGGGCAAGCGUUGUCCGGAUUUACUGGGUGUAAAGGGCGCGCAGGCGGGAUAAAAAGUCAGUGGUGAAAUCCUACAGCUUAACUGUAGAACUGCCUUUGAUACUUUUAUUCUUGAGUUCGGGAGAGAGAGACGGAAUUCCAGGUGUAGUGGUGAAAUACGUAGAUAUCUAGAAGAACACCAGUUGCGAAGGCGGUCUCUUGGUCCGACACUGACGCUGAGGCGCGAAAGCGUGGGGAGCAAACA